rnacentral:lncRNA from 10 species
GGAAAUGAUAGAAGAAGGAACCUUGGAACAUUAGGAGGGAAGAAAGAACGUGGUCAUCUGAAGUGCUUAGGCCUCAAGAGAUCUUGAACAUUUUCACUUGCUCUCCUGGAACCCUGAUGCUGCCACGUGAACAAGCCCAGGCAACCUUACUGGAAGAAGAGAAGCAUCAACUCCAACACAUGAGUGAGGUUAUCCUAGACCAGCCAAACCCCAUCAACCACAAACAUGAGUAAGCCCUGCAGAGACCCACCGAGCCCAAUCCGGAUCAACCAAACCUCCCAGCCUGCUUUAAACUUGUGAGUAAAUAAUAAAUACAUAUUAUUUCAAGUCACUGAAUUUGGGGGAGGUUUGUUACACAGUGAGAGCUACCUGAUACAAACCCAAAAGACAUCAGAAAAGGUGUUCUACUUCGACCCAAUAAUUUCACUCCAGAAAUGUAUCCUAAAGUAAUUCUCAUGAUCACAUACACAGAUAGAGUCAAUUCUCAUUAUUCAUGGUACUUAUUCUACAAAGUCACCAAGAACACUGAAUUAGCAAAUACUAAACCAUUGCUCCUAGGGGAAAUACAUGGUUAGGUGCCUGCAAGCUUUUGGUCACGACAUUUUAGUCAACCAAUCAAUAUACAAGCUUUUUUUAUGUGUGUUUCUGUUUAAAGACACCCCCCUUAUUAUUAUUAUUAUUUUUGACAGGGUCUCACUCUGUUGUCCAGGCUGGAGUGCAGUGGAGCAAUCACGGAUCACUGCAGCCUCAACCUCUCCCAGUUCAGGUGAUCCUCCCACCUCAACCUCCUGAGUAGCUUGGACUAUAGGCAUGUACCACCAUGCCCAGCUAGUUCUUCUGUUUUGGGUAGAGACGGGGU